GAUGAACGCUGGCGGCGUGCCUAAUACAUGCAAGUCGAGCGAACGGACGAGAAGCUUGCUUCUCUGAUGUUAGCGGCGGACGGGUGAGUAACACGUGGAUAACCUACCUAUAAGACUGGGAUAACUUCGGGAAACCGGAGCUAAUACCGGAUAAUAUUUUGAACCGCAUGGUUCAAAAGUGAAAGACGGUCUUGCUGUCACUUAUAGAUGGAUCCGCGCUGCAUUAGCUAGUUGGUAAGGUAACGGCUUACCAAGGCAACGAUGCAUAGCCGACCUGAGAGGGUGAUCGGCCACACUGGAACUGAGACACGGUCCAGACUCCUACGGGAGGCAGCAGUAGGGAAUCUUCCGCAAUGGGCGAAAGCCUGACGGAGCAACGCCGCGUGAGUGAUGAAGGUCUUCGGAUCGUAAAACUCUGUUAUUAGGGAAGAACAUAUGUGUAAGUAACUGUGCACAUCUUGACGGUACCUAAUCAGAAAGCCACGGCUAACUACGUGCCAGCGGCCGCGGUAAUACGUAGGUGGCAAGCGUUAUCCGGAAUUAUUGGGCGUAAAGCGCGCGUACGCGGUUUUUUAAGUCUGAUGUGAAAGCCCACGGCUCAACCGUGGAGGGUCAUUGGAAACUGGAAAACUUGAGUGCAGAAGGGGAAAGUGGAAUUCCAUGUGUAGCGGUGAAAUGCGCAGAGAUAUGGAGGAACACCAGUGGCGAAGGCGACUUUCUGGUCUGUAACUGACGCUGAUGUGCGAAAGCGUGGGGAUCAAACAGGAUUAGAUACCCUGGUAGUCCACGCCGUAAACGAUGAGUGCUAAGUGUUAGGGGGUUUCCGCCCCUUAGUGCUGCAGCUAACGCAUUAAGCACUCCGCCUGGGGAGUACGACCGCAAGGUUGAAACUCAAAGGAAUUGACGGGGACCCGCACAAGCGGUGGAGCAUGUGGUUUAAUUCGAAGCAACGCGAAGAACCUUACCAAAUCUUGACAUCCUUUGACAACUCUAGAGAUAGAGCCUUCCCCUUCGGGGGACAAAGUGACAGGUGGUGCAUGGUUGUCGUCAGCUCGUGUCGUGAGAUGUUGGGUUAAGUCCCGCAACGAGCGCAACCCUUAAGCUUAGUUGCCAUCAUUAAGUUGGGCACUCUAAGUUGACUGCCGGUGACAAACCGGAGGAAGGUGGGGAUGACGUCAAAUCAUCAUGCCCCUUAUGAUUUGGGCUACACACGUGCUACAAUGGACAAUACAAAGGGCAGCGAAACCGCGAGGUCAAGCAAAUCCCAUAAAGUUGUUCUCAGUUCGGAUUGUAGUCUGCAACUCGACUACAUGAAGCUGGAAUCGCUAGUAAUCGUAGAUCAGCAUGCUACGGGAAUACGUUUCCGGGGUCU
rnacentral:rRNA from 1 species